rnacentral:rRNA from 2 species
AAAUUGAAGAGUUUGAUCAUGGCUCAGAUUGAACGCUGGCGGCAGGCCUAACACAUGCAAGUCGAACGGUAACAGGAAGCAGCUUGCUGCUUCGCUGACGAGUGGCGGACGGGUGAGUAAUGUCUGGGAAACUGCCUGAUGGAGGGGGAUAACUACUGGAAACGGUGGCUAAUACCGCAUAACGUCGCAAGACCAAAGAGGGGGACCUUCGGGCCUCUUGCCAUCAGAUGUGCCCAGAUGGGAUUAGCUUGUUGGUGAGGUAACGGCUCACCAAGGCGACGAUCCCUAGCUGGUCUGAGAGGAUGACCAGCCACACUGGAACUGAGACACGGUCCAGACUCCUACGGGAGGCAGCAGUGGGGAAUAUUGCACAAUGGGCGCAAGCCUGAUGCAGCCAUGCCGCGUGUAUGAAGAAGGCCUUCGGGUUGUAAAGUACUUUCAGCGGGGAGGAAGGUGUUGCGGUUAAUAACCGCAGCAAUUGACGUUACCCGCAGAAGAAGCACCGGCUAACUCCGUGCCAGCAGCCGCGGUAAUACGGAGGGUGCAAGCGUUAAUCGGAAUUACUGG